GGCCCCAUCGUCUAGUGGUUAGGACACCAGAUUUUCAAUCUGAUAACGGGAGUUCAAUUCUCCCUGGGGCUA
rnacentral:tRNA from 1 species